CNUAACACAUGCAAGUCGAACGGUAACAGGUCUUCGGAUGCUGACGAGCGGCGAACGGGUGAGUAAUACAUCGGAACGUGCCCAAUCGUGGGGGAUAACACAUCGAAAGAUGUGCUAAUACCGCAUAAGAUCUACGGAUGAAAGCGGGGGAUCGCAAGACCUCGCGCGAAUGGAGCGGCCGAUGGCAGAUUAGGUAGUUGGUGGGGUAAAGGCCUACCAAGCCGACGAUCUGUAGCUGGUCUGAGAGGACGACCAGCCACACUGGGACUGAGACACGGCCCAGACUCCUACGGGAGGCAGCAGUGGGGAAUUUUGGACAAUGGGCGCAAGCCUGAUCCAGCAAUGCCGCGUGCAGGAUGAAGGCCUUCGGGUUGUAAACUGCUUUUGUACGGAGCGAAAAGGUUUUCUCUAAUACAGAAGGCCCAUGACGGUACCGUAAGA
rnacentral:rRNA from 1 species